rnacentral:rRNA from 1 species
CAGCAGCCACGGUAAAACGAAGGGUGCAAGCGUUAAUCGGAAUUACUGGGCGUAAAGCGUGCGUAGGCGGUGAGUUAAGUCUGCUGUGAAAUCCCCGGGCUCAACCUGGGAAUGGCAAUGGAUACUGGCAAGCUAGAGUGUGUCAGAGGAUGGUGGAAUUCCCGGUGUAGCGGUGAAAUGCGUAGAGAUCGGGAGGAACAUCAGUGGCGAAGGCGGCCAUCUGGGACAACACUGACGCUGAGGCACGAAAGCGUGGGGAGCAAACAGGAUUAGAUACCCGCGUAGUCCCUGUCUCUUAUAC